UGGGAGUGAUGAUGCUGAGAAAAGGUUUUGCUUAAUGAGCUGAUGAUGUCACGUGAUGUCACUCUUCUCUUGGCUGUCUGACCAA
rnacentral:snoRNA from 1 species